CGACGGUGUCUGCUUUGUCGGAUCCUGCGCAACAAUGGGUUUGCGUGCCGCUGGGAUUCGUGAGUCGCCGGCCUCGCUGGAACCAGGUUCUUGACGUCAUAAAACAGGAAGGUAGCUGAAUCCAGGCCAGAGAUCCGGAAGAUUUUAACUAACACUGGCUCAAGAUUCUUUCCCCAAAAGUUGAAGAAAUGGAAACUGAGAAAGAUUAAGAAGGGUAUCCAGAUCCACAUAGUUGUGCCACACCUCCAACCAUGGUGGCAACUUGGCCCUGGUAGGACCAGAGAAGCAUAUGGCCAGCCCCUGGUUGAUUAUGUGGGCAACACCUCUGAGAUCCUUCCUGGAACAGCAUUCAGAG